UACUGGCUAGGCUGCCUGUAGUGCACUUGCUAUUAGUGAGUGUAAUUUUUAACCGAGUGAGUUACGUAAAAUAUUUGGCUAUGCGUAAACGAAAGUGUACAUUUUAUGAUGUCCUUUCCUGCAAAUAUCCGGCUUUCAAGAAAGGGAGAAAUGAAUUUGAAGUGGAAUGUAAGAUAUGUGGAGCUGGAACGUACGUCUCUGUGGCCAAUAAAGGAAACACUAUUGAAGAUCUUAUGGCUGUCGAUAGACAGAUCGAGGCCAUUCAGCAACAGAUAUGUCAUCAGCCUACUUGUGAUUAUAAGCACUUACUGGACGAUGGAUUGAGGGUCCCAUAGACUGGAUGAAUUGUUCACAUCUUGGAGUCAGAGCCAAAAAAGUAAUUACUCACCCAUGGCGGCGGCUAAACCGUCCGGUGAAGAUGCCAUUGGUCACCCCGCAGAGAGCUGCCGCUGCCAAGGUCACACAGCCUGGCUGUUUGCACUCCGGCUCUCCCCGGCCGCCACGUGCACCUGGCGCCGCAUGGGAAUCUGUCGCCUCCGCCGAGGUCACCAAGCCAGCCUCCGGAUGCUCGCACUGGGGCACGCCUGCAGUACUCGGAGAUUGCGGAUGCCUUUGAGGAGCAAAUCUCGAUCACUAGGAUCAGAACCUGAAAGGGGGGUACCACGAUCCUGUUGGAUUUCUAAACUCGUGCCUCCCUGUCCUGGAGGCGGAGCUCCUCGAGGUAGUCGAUAAUCCAUGUUAUCAUGCCAUUAAAUGCAGUGCAGUUCUCUGCAUUGAGUUAUCGCAUCCCACCAAAGUUGAGUCUGGUAAUGGAGAGACUAGCAUCCAUAACCUUUGGGGGGAUAAUGGCGUGAUAACGCGGAGCACAUCAAUCGCCGAGUGGUUUUGUAAAUCCACCUUGAGUGUCAUAUUGGGCCGGUUUUCCAAGAUGGAAAUAAGUGGCUCAGCUAAGGCACUCAGCAGAAUUCUACACCUGGACAUCCAUAUAAAUGUCCACGAUCCAUUAAACGGAGGGUCUAGCAAUAUCAAGUUUCCUUAAGAUAUAGCUAAUAAGCAUGCAUGCAUUAAUGUCGAAAAUAGAAAAGAUCAGGCUUGUUUUGCAUGGUCAAUCCUGGCUUGCGAGAGAAAGUACGAUAGAAGAAAUCAUCCUGAGCGUCCCAGUACAUACAAUGGAGGUGAUAAUAUACAUUCAUGUUAUAACUUUGAUGGUAUUGAGUUCCCCGUCAAAAUCCAGGACACAACUAAAUUAGAGGCCAAGAAUAUCAGAAUAUCAGUACAUGUUUAUGGCCUGUAGAAGAAAAACAAAACUUAGCCAGAUGAGCAAAACGAGCAUAUUGUAGUCGGUCCUCUCCAUUUCUCAAAAUUUGCCGGUAUGAGAGAGCUGCAUGUAAAUAUGCUUCCCUUUUCUGAAGGUGACAAUUAUCACUAUGUGUGGAUCAAGGACAUUUCCCAACUCCUUUAUUCCCAGUUAAGUGACAAAUGAAAAAAGAAUAUUUGUUUAAGGUGCCUCAGUUAUUUCUCCUCUGAACAGUUAUUAGCUAUACAUCUAGUAGACUGUACCUCCAAGGAUGCAGUACAUGUUAUCAUUGCCACUGAGGAAAACAAAUUCAUAAAGUUUAAAAAUGCUUACCACCGGGAGCGGCGUCCGUUUGUAGUCUACGCCAACUUCGAACGCCUCCUCGCUCCUGUGACCCACUGUGAAGCUGACCAUACAAUCUCACACAUCACCUUUACAGAGAAACACGUACCAUAUGCGGCAGCGUACCAAAUUGUAUCGUCGUAUGACUCCAACCUUAACUGAUACAAAUCUUACGCAGGGAUAAUCCUGCGGUUUGGUUGCUCUCUGAGCUUGAAAAAUUUUCACGGGAGAUUGAUAAGCUUUACAGCGGGAACGUCCCCAUUACCAAAUCGAUGGAGAAUGAAGAUCUGUAUAAUAAUGCCACUGUUUGUCAUAUUUGUGAGCUACCUUUAGACAGAAAAGCGGAAACUCCUCGUAGGGACCACUGUCACCUUACAGGGAAAUUCUGUGGCGCAGCUCACAACACAUGCAAUUUGAAGUACCAGUUACCUAGACACAUACCCGUUUUAUUCCACAAUUUAAGUGGGUAUGACGCUCACUUUCUAGUUGAGCAUUAGCCGAUUUUGGUUUGGAGAAAGAUCAGGUCAGUGUCCUACCUAAGAGCAUCGAGAAGUAUAUUUCAUUCUCCAAACGAAUGACGCCAAGAAUUUCUCUCCACUUCCUUGAUACGCUACGUUUUAUGCAAGCACCACUACAGAGACUUGUUGAGACUCUACCUCUUGGGGAUACGCAUAUCACUCGAGCAGCAUUUCCUGUCAAGGAAAAGUUUCAACAUGCGACUAGGAAGGUGGUUUUCCCACAUGAGUAUGUGGAUAGUAUGGCCAAAAUCAACGAAACCAGGCUACCCGACAUUACUGCAUUCUCCAGUAACCUCAUAGGCGACGCCAUAACGAUUGCAGAGUAUGAGCAUGCUGUGAAUGUCUGCCAGGAAUUCAAUAUUUCCACUUUAGGAGAGUACACACAGCUUUACAUGAACAUAGACGUGUGCUUGCUUGUGGACGUUUUCUAGAAGUUCCGGAGUCUAUGUAUGACCACAUAUUCUCUGGACCCAGCCUUUUAUUACACAGCACAUGGGUUGUCGUGCGACGCGAUGCUCAAGAAAAUGAAGUGCAACAUCGAAUUAUUGACAGAUCCUGGCAUGCUUCUUUGAGUGAGGGAUCUGUGGGGGACUUUGACAAUGUGUCCAUAGAUGUGUGAAAGCAAAUAACCCACGGAUGGGUGACAGGUUGAACGCAUCCCUUGAUUCAAGUUAUAUAAUGUACCUUGACGUGAAUAACUUAUAUGGGCAAUCACUGCCAAUUUCCGAGUUUCGGUGGCUGUCCGGAGAUGAAUACAAGGGAUUAGGUGGAAAAAUCGUGGCGAGUAUGGAAGCUGAUUCUGAUAUAGGGUAUGUUGUGGAGGCAGAACUCGCAUACCCUAUUAGUUUGCAUGAUGCGCAUUCCGAUUUGCCGCAGUGUCCAGAGCAACUAGUUCCACGAGGAGGUUCCACACCGAAACUGAUGACUACGGUGGGGGAUAAGCAGCGGUAUAUAAUUCACUAUCGUAACCUCCAGCAGUGCCUCAGGUUGGUUAUGGAGCUGGUUAAAAUCACCUGGGCCAUCUCCUUCAAGCAGUCCUGAUUGAUGGGGUGGGCAUUAUGGCGUAAGAAAAUGCAUUGCCAGACCAAAUUUUAAGCGGGUCACCAUAUUCAAUAAGAACUUCGUUGCUGUGGAGAUGGCGAAAACUGCAGUAUAGUUUACUAAACCCAUCUAUGUGGUGAUGUGCAUACUAGUCCUGUCCAAACUUCACAUGUACCACUUUCAUUAUGAGUUCGCGAAAACUCAUUUCGCAGAUCCUAAGUUUCUUUAUAUGGAUACUGAUAGCUUCAUCUAUUGGGUGAAGAACUGCGAUCCAUAUGAAGUAAUUGGGUACCACAGUAAUAAAUUUGGCACAUCUUCUUAUGUGGCCGAUAAUCCUUAUGGAAUUGUUCCACAGAACAACAAGGUUAUCGGUCUCAUGAAGGACGAGUCAAAUGGAUCACCGAUUGUGGAGUUUGUAGGUCUUCGGUCAAAAAUGUAUGCAUAUCGCACAUUGAAAGGUGCAACCCAGAGGCGGGCUAAGGGUGUGCGUUGCAUGGCAUCGAGAGCUCUAUCUAUCGAAGAUUAUUUGCAAUGCCUACGUGGGUGUGUGUAUAAAUAUUGGAUGAGAGUUUUGUAGUGUGUAUCAGAUUGCGUGCUUCCUUGUAUGUCUGAGUGUGCAAAUGUGCGCGAGCCUGUGUUAAGUGUGUGUAAAUAUGUAUUAAUUAUCCUCUGAAAGAAAAUCAUAAAAAAAAAAAAUUUUAAAAUCUCGAAUAAAUUAUUUAAAAAGUCUUUAUGUAUAUAUGUAAAUAUAUUUUUUGACCGUUACUACUAUUUAAUGUACAUGAGCAAAAAAUAAAUAAAUUUGGCCAGUU